AUAGCACGUCAGGUUUCUCUAUGUGCCACUUAUGUGACAGGGUUUGGUUUGCUCCUAUAGAUGGGCAACCUUACUCUUGUCUCACACAGCUUACCGUCCUUGGGUUGUUUCUUUGUUUUGUCUUCCCGGCCCGAUCUUGUAUCUAGGUGUGGUAGGUACAAAUGCAGGGCUGAUGUCCUAGUGGGGAUGAGGGAGAUGCACUUUGGGCUAAUGCAAGAGCAAGGAGACUGGAAAGCCCCUGGGACUGAAUGCCUUCUGAGAUUGAGGACACUGAUCAGCAGGGAAAUGAUGUUUGGGUUUGACACACAGGCAAAUCUACAAAAAGUAGGUAUAAAACAGGAUAAGGUUGUGGUCGACCACUUGGUGUUCUUAGCUUGUGUCAAGAUAGGAGAAAAGAUCAUUUUAAUAAUAAAUGGUAUAAAACAAUGGAUAUGAGGAGUGACAAACAAUGGACAUGAAGGAG
rnacentral:lncRNA from 1 species